rnacentral:rRNA from 1 species
GAGUUUGAUCCUGGCUCAGAACGAACACUAGCGAUGCGUCUUAGAUAUGCAAGUCGAACGAUAUACUUCGGUAUAUAGUGGCGAACGGGUGAGUAACAUGUGAGUAAUCUACCAUGAAGUGGGGGAUAGCUUAGGGAAACCUAAGGUAAUACCGCAUAUCUUUAUAGGCUAUGGCUUAUAAAGAAAGGAACUCGAAUUAUGGGUUUCGCUUUAUGAUGAGCUUGCACCUGAUUAGCUUGUUGGUAAGGUAAAGGCUUACCAAGGCGACGAUCAGUAGCCGGCCUGAGAGGGUGAUCGGCCACAUUGGAACUGAGAUACGGUCCAGACCACUACGGUGGGCGGCAGUCAAGAAUCUUCCGCAAUGGACGAAAGUCUGACGGAGCGACAUCGCGUGAGUGAUGAAGGUGGAAACAUCGUAAAACUCUUUUAUAGAUGAAGAAUAAGCCAUUAGGAAAUGAAUGGUGAUGACAUUAGUCUAUGAAUAAGUCCCGGCUAAUUACGUGCCAGCAGCCGCGGUAAUACGUAAGGGGCAAGUGUUAUUCGGAAUUAUUGGGUGUAAAGGGCAUGUAGGCGGUUUAAUAAGUCUAAUAUUAAAGACUCAAGCUUAACUUGAGGAGUGUGUUAGAAACUAUUAAACUAGAGUUUAGAAGAGGAAAACAGAAUUUCUAGUGUAGGGGUGAUAUCUUCAGAUAUUAGGAGGAAUGCCAGAGGUGAAGGCGGUUUUCUAGUCUAAAACUGACGCUGAUAUGCGAAAGCAUGGGUAGCAAACUGAAUUAGAUACUCAGGUAGUCCAUGCUGUAAACGAUGUAUACUAGAUCUUGGAUUUUUAUUAGUUUGGGAUCGAAGCUAACGCGUUAAGUAUACCACCUGGGGAGUAUGCUCGCAAGAGUGAAACUCAAAGGAAUUGACGG